CCUACGGGUGGCAGCAGUGAGGAAUAUUGGUCAAUGGACGCAAGUCUGAACCAGCCAUGCCGCGUGCAGGAAGACGGCUCUAUGAGUUGUAAACUGCUUUUGUACGAGGGUAAACGCAGAUACGCGUAUCUGUCUGAAAGUAUCGUACGAAUAAGGAUCGGCUAACUCCGUGCCAGCAGCCGCGGUAAUACGGGAGAUUCAAGCGUUAUCCGGAUUUAUUGGGUUUAAAGGGUGCGUAGGCGGUCGGUUAAGUUGGAUGUGAAAUCCGGGGGCUCAACUUCGGAAGUGCCUUGGAUACUGUUCAGCUAGAGAGUAGUAGCGGUAGGCGGAAUGUAUGGUGUAGCGGUGAAAUGCGUAGAGAUCAUACAGAACACCGAGUGCGAAGGCAGCUUACCAGGCUACUUCUGACGUUGAGGCACGAAAGCGUGGGGAGCAAACAGGAUUAGAUACCCCAGUAGUC
rnacentral:rRNA from 1 species